rnacentral:tRNA from 1 species
GCCGCUGUGGCGGAAUUGGCAGACGCAAGGGACUUAAAAUCCCUCGGUGGCAACACCAUACGGGUUCGAUUCCCGUCAGCAGCACCA